rnacentral:rRNA from 1 species
AUUGAACGCUGGCGGAAUGCUUUACACAUGCAAGUCGAACGGCAGCACGGACUUCGGUCUGGUGGCGAGUGGCGAACGGGUGAGUAAUGUAUCGGAACGUGCCCAGUCGUGGGGGAUAACGUAGUGAAAAUUACGCUAAUACCGCAUACGAUCUAUGGAUGAAAGCGGGGGAUCGCAAGACCUCGCGCGAUUGGAGCGGCCAAUAUCAGAUUAGGUAGUUGGUGGGGUAAAGGCCCACCAAGCCAACGAUCUGUAGCUGGUCUGAGAGGACGACCUGCCACACUGGAACUGAGACACGGUCCAGACUCCUACGGGAGGCAGCAGUGGGGAAUUUUUGACAAUGGGCGAAAGCCUGAUCCAGCCAUUCCGCGUGCAGGAUGAAGGCCCUCGGGUUGUAAACUGCUUUUGUACAGAACGAAAAGGUUUCUACUAAUACUAGGAGCUCAUGACGGUACUGUAAGAAUAAGCACCGGCUAACUACGUGCCAGCCGCCACAGUAA